rnacentral:rRNA from 1 species
AUUGAACGCUGGCGGCAGGCCUAACACAUGCAAGUCGAGCGAGCGGCGGACGGGUGAGUAAUGUAUGGGGACUGCCCGAUAGAGGCGGAUAACCACUGGAAACGGUGGCUCAUACCGCAUACUGUCGGAUAACCCAUAUGGGAUUAGCUAGUAGGUAAGGUAAUGGCUUACCUAGGCGACGAUCCCUAGAUGGGCUGAGAGGAUGAUCAGCCACACUGGUAAUGAAACAAUUCCCAGACGACUACGGAGGCAGCAGUGUGGAACAUUGCACAAUGGGGGCAAGCCUGAUUCAGCAAAGCCGCGUGUAUGAAGGAUGCCCUAUGAUUGGAAAGUACAUUCAGUCGGGAGGCGUUACCGACAGAAGAAGCACCUGCGAACUCCGUGCCAGCAGCCGCGGUAAUUC